UUCCCAAGAGCAUCUGCAAAGUCUCACAUCUUUGGAAGUGAUGAAGAUAUAUGAAUGUCCAAGCGUGGAUGAUUCAUUUCCAUCAUGUGGCUUGUUAUGGCCUCCUAAUUUGAAGCGUCUAAGAAUAGGGGAAUUAAAGAAGCCACUGUGAGAAUGGGGGCUUCAAAAUUACCCUUCCUCACUUGUUGAAUUAGAGUUAUAUGGCAGAGAUUCAGGAGUGGUUUCAUUUGGAAUAAUAAUGGAAGAACAACAAGAUCAUAAUAAUAGGACCAGUUCAGCAUGUUUUCUUCUUCCACCAUCUCUAACUUGUCUAAAAAUCUGGAAUUUUGAGGAAGUGGAAUCAGUUUCAGAGGUCUCACAACACCUCCCUCACCUUCAACAUUUUAAGAUUUGGCAUUGCCCUAAGCUAAGAGAUGUGCCAAAGACAACUUCGUUUUUCAAAGUAUUUGUUUUUUAACAUCAUGGUUUCAUGGGCGUCGUCGCUCUCAAUGCUGCUACUUUAAGUGGGUUAAACAAGAAUCUAACAUUUCAAGAUCACAAGAGUACAAAUCUUUGGUCAUGGCAGCAUGACUCAGACUCAGUAUUCAUGUCAUUUUGUUGGGUUAGGGUAUGUAUGCAAAUUUUAAGUUUCGCUCUUUGAAUGUGUUGUAGUUUUUGUUUUUGGUUUGCUGAUCCUAAAGGUGCUGGCUUGCUGUUAGCAUUCCCAUCUUGCGCCUUGUAAGAUUGGAUGGAUGGAUGCUCUCAUCUAUUUCAACUGGUCAUGUAAACGAAAUUGAAACUCCCUAUUAAUUACGGUUUAUUUCUCAAUGUCUUAGUUAAAAGUUUUUGAAUAGAA